rnacentral:lncRNA from 1 species
UCAGCUAUCUAUUACCUUCUAAUUUCAACAUCUAAACUGUAAAAUGAUUUCUUGGUUCAUCCCUACUUUACUGUCAUGAGCUUGCCUGAUGACCUCAGCUUCUAUCCUUGGGUUUGCUUUGCUUAGUAAUUGUAGGACUGCAACCUGAAAGGUGUACUUACAGACUAUCCAUAUGCCAAGAGUUUCCUGGUGCUGCUGAUGCUUUCCAUCCAAUCUCAAUGGUUGCUCAUCAUAUACUUCCAAAAAAGUCUGUAAGGAAUCCUAAUUAUGUUCAGGAAAUACCUUCUGAGCGGGAGAGGCGGAUGGGCUGAAGCAGGGCCUGGGAUUGUACGGGAAAGCUUCGUGCUGUUUGGCGACUGGAGCAGUCACUGCGAGCAGAGCGAGGCACAAAGCCUCGUGCUGACAUCUGGCGGCUCGGCCGGGGUACUGCCUGGAGAAAGAACAAUCGGAGGAGUUCGUUUAUCACUUUCGGGUAUUUCCUGGUAUCAGCCCAGGUUUCUCCGGCGGCGCUGAGAGACCCGUGUUUAUUAUCUAAGAGAACGAGAGAAAGAAGGGGAAAUAAAUAAGAGGCAGUGUGCGGAGUAACACCUGAAUCGGCACAGAACGAAACGGGCCGUUCCACGUAGCGCUAUGACAGGGCUCAGGAUCUCCUCUGCCCGUUCACCUGACGAAGCCAGGCGCUGCCCUGCUCAGAACGGCUCAAAACAGCUCAGCGGUUUCUAAGCUACCCCACUGAGGGAGCAGAAAGCCGCCUGUUAUAGAGAGACGCGUUUAAAACGAACCCACAGAGCCCAGCGCUCAGCAGAAGCACCUAGCGGGUCGAACUGUGCGCUGCUCGCAC